rnacentral:rRNA from 1 species
UACGUAGGGCGCAAGCGUUGUCCGGAAUUAUUGGGCAUAAAGAGCUCGUAGGCGGUUUGUCGCGUCGAAUGUGAAAACCCGGGGCUCAACCCCGGGCCUGCAUUCGAUACGGGCAGACUAGAGUUCGGUAGGGGAGUCUGGAAUUCCUGGUGUAGCGGUGAAAUGCGCAGAUAUCAGGAGGAACACCGGUGGCGAAGGCGGGACUCUGGGCCGAUACUGACGCUGAGGAGCGAAAGCGUGGGGAGCAAACAGG